rnacentral:rRNA from 1 species
CGCGUAGGCGGUUUUGUCGGUCAGAUGUGAAAGCCCGGGGCUCAACCCUGGAAGUGCAUUUGAAACAGCAAGACUUGAGUACGGGAGAGGAAAGCGGAAUUCCUGGUGUAGAGGUGAAAUUCGUAGAUAUCAGGAGGAACACCGAUGGCGAAGGCAGCUUUCUGGACCGAUACUGACGCUGAGGCGCGAAGGUGUGGGUAGCGAACG